rnacentral:rRNA from 1 species
UACGUAGGGGGCAAGCGUUGUCCGGAAUUAUUGGGCGUAAAGCGCGCGCAGGCGGUUAUUUAAGUCUUAUGUUUAAACCUGGGGCUCAACCUCGGGACGCAUGGGAAACUGGGUAACUUGAGUGUAGGAGAGGAAAGUGGAAUUCCACGUGUAGCGGUGAAAUGCGUAGAGAUGUGGAGGAACACCAGUGGCGAAGGCGGGUCUCUGGGCCUGUACUGACGCUGAGGAGCGAAAGCGUGGGGAGCGAACAGG